rnacentral:rRNA from 1 species
GCUGGCGGCGUGCUUAACACAUGCAAGUCGAACGAGAAAGGAUUCUUCGGAAUCCGAGUAAAGUGGCGCACGGGUGAGUAACGCGUAGAUAAUCUGUCCUUGUGUUUGGGAUAACCCUUCGAAAGGGGGACUAAUACCGAAUAUAUUCGUACCUGUUGGGGUAUGAAGUAAAGGUGGCCUCUAUUUAUAAGCUAUCGCACGGGGAGGAGUCUGCGUACCAUUAGCUAGUUGGUGGGGUAAUGGCCUACCAAGGCAACGAUGGUUAGCGGGUCUGAGAGGAUGAUCCGUCACACUGGCACUGAAACACGGGCCAGACUCCUACGGGAGGCAGCAGUGAGGAAUAUUGCGCAAUGGGGGAAACCCUGACGCAGCGACGCCGCGUGAGUGAGGAAGGCCUUCGGGCCGUAAAGCUCUGUCAGUAGGGAAGAAAUGUUAUAUGGUUAAUACCCUUAUAAUUUGACGGUACCUACAAAGGAAGCACCGGCUAACUCCGUGCCAGCAGCCGCGGUAAUACGGAGGGUGCAAGCGUUGUUCGGAAUCACUGGGCGUAAAGGGCGCGCAGGCGGUUUUAUUAGUCAGAUGUGAAAGCCCACGGCUCAACCGUGGAAGUGCAUUUGAAACUGUAAGACUUGAGUACCAGAGGGGGUAGUGGAAUUCCCGGUGUAGAGGUGAAAUUCGUAGAUAUCGGGAGGAAUACCGGUGGCGAAGGCGACUACCUGGCUGGAUACUGACGCUGAGGCGCGAAAGCGUGGGGAGCAAACAGGAUUAGAUACCCUGGUAGUCCACGCCGUAAACGAUGU